AGAUAGAGAAUUGGGUUUUUUUUCUUCAUAGGGUUUUGGGAAGACUGAGGCAAUCGUUGUUGAAGUCAGUGUUGUAAUGGUGAAUCCGGAUUUUUAAUGAAGUGGGUUUGAUUACUCUUGACUGUUUUGUAAAAUCGAUUUACAUCUGUGAUGAAGAAUUAAAAGGGUGUCUAUAGGAUUGAGUAUGCGGAGUGAAUGAAAUUUAUCGGGUUAAUCUAACAAGACAGUCAGUGGAUACAAGAUCAUGAGUAUAAAGCGGUAUCGAAGAUUAGCAGUUUGGGUUGUUCGGGGUUCUCUGUAACGUCUAGAGACCUACCGGCUGGGACAAAAAGGACUUUGGCAAGUAGUCGAAGGGCAUCCGUAUAGAUUUACGGUAUAUUCUUGUAGUCGUUUAUAUUCCAACAGUCAAAAACCGAUAGACUGCUUGAAUAUUGGCGAAUCUCCAUACUACCUUCUACAGCCAGACGUCCGGUGCGUUCUCAAGCAGAAAAGCACGUAAUACGACAAAAGUGGUGAAUCCGACAUGAAAGCUUGAGGUGGAAGGUAUUGGAUUUCGUUUGAUUUUAUUUUUAUUUUAUGAAAAACGAAAAUAAAAAUUUUGAAGGAUUUUUUGGAGGAGCUUCUGGUGGGGGUUCUCCUAAAGGGCAAGGUAUGCACAUGGAUCCGUCUAUUGCUAGUAUGUUUCAAGCCUUCUCAUUAUCAAUGCAGCAACAGCAAAGCAAUGAUCGAAAAGGAAGCUUUGGCAACUAAAGCACUGUAAGCAGUGGUCAAUAAAAUUGAUCAAUUUGAUGGAAGAAAUAUUUCAAGGUAUUUAAGAUGUUAUGUUCGUGAAAUGGAAUUAAAUCGGGUUUCUGAGAAGAAAAUGGUUGAAUUAUUUGGACUUGCCAUGAUACCGGAGAUAAGGGACCAUAUUACAUCGAUUACGGAUCGUUAUGGGAAUUCAUGGGAGAUUUUUUUACAUGCAUUGAAAGACGAAUAUUUCUUGGAAGAUGCUGAUCGCGUUACUAAGAAGUUGUUUCUGGAAUGGAUUGAACGGCCUAAUAAGAAUUUGGAAGCAACAAAGCUACUAAGGGAAUUUGAGAGGCAAUACUCUUAAUUGUCGAAGGUAGAAAAAUUGACAUUGGAGCCGAACAAAGUUGAUCUAUUUCUUCAAGCUGUUGAUGGAGAAUUGCAAGGGAAAUUGGAACUCCUUCUUGAAGACAAAGAAGAAGAUGAAGGAUUGACAACAAAGUGGAAGAACGUUGAAGAUGCGGUGGGGUUGCUUGCAAAAAGAGAAAGGAGGAAGGAUAGGAGCAAUAUUCCAAAAACAAUACAAGCACCCAAAGCUCCAGUACGUACAACACCACCAACAAUGCCUACAGUUCAAUCUUCGACAUCCUUCUCAAAGAAAGCAGAUAUGAGGAUGAAAGAAAUUAUACGAAGAAUGCGAGAUCUUCAAAUCGAAUUGACAAGACUUGAACAGAAUACUUCUACAAACAAUUUGAAGAAUGUUUCAAAACAAGGAUAUGUACAAAGAUGCAUUUGGUGUGAUGACGCUUCACACACUAGGAAAGAUUGCAAUGAAUUUAAUAAUAUGAUACGACAAGGAAUUAUUUAUUGGAAAGAUGGGAAGAUAGCAUUAAAAGAUAGGGAGGAUCUUCUUCAAACCAAUUUUGGCAAGGGAGGAAUGAGAGCAUUGGUUCAAGAUUACUUAAAAGAGCAUGAAACAGCAACACGAGAAAGUGCAAGUUAUGGUGCUAGAGUAGAUGAUGACCUUGGUGGAAGAAUGGAAACUAGUGAGUUUUGGGCUUCUGCCGUUUCUACAAUGCAAGAAGGGAAAUUACCUUGAGAAGCGUUAUUGAGGACUGCAGCUACAAUAUGAGGUGCAACAGGUUGGAAGGAUCUUGUUGAGUCUCUUUCAGUUCAUGCAUAUAUUGCUAAGAGCCAACAUAAAGCUUUGAUGGAAGAAAAGAGACGAGGAAAUUUUGAUGAUACGAGAGAAGGAAAUUCUUCUAAGAGGCAAACUCGAGGAGACAAGGCUCGGGAGGUAGCUUCACAAGAAUUGCCUGUAAAGGAUACUUGAGCAUCAUUGGAAGAAAAAAUAAAGGAGACAAAAGAUAAGGGCAAAUCAAUUGCUUAUAAGCUACUUUCUGACAUUGAAGCGGCAACAAAUUUGAAAGGGGUGUUGGAAGAACGUAUAUUAAAUGCUAAGGUGGAAUUCACAUUGAAAGAAGUUUUGGAAAUUAUAAAGAAGGAGUUUCAUGAUGUUAUUAUUGACAGCAUUAAGCAAAAGAGGCAAUUAAUGGGCAAAACUAGAAUGAGUCAUGCUAUUGAUGCAAGAAUAUAUAAAGAUGAAGAAGAGGUUGAUAUUGGUUACAAGCAACCAACAAAUGAAAAGAAUGGGUAUAACCAACGAGUACGCUUCGAAGAUUAUAGUGAUAAGGAAAUGGAAGCUUUGAGCCAUUAUACUCGAAAGCAUUGGGCAAGGGCAACUACUGAGGUAUUGUUGAAAGUAAGAGAUAUAGAAGAACCAAUAGUUGCUUUAGUCGACCAUGGUUCUGAAAUAAAUCUCAUGUCUAAAGAUCUUUAUAAGAAGCAAAAAUGGCCAAUUGAUAUGGAACAUGGAUAGGCAAUUCGAGCAGCUAAUAACACACGGGGCGAAUUAUAUGGAGCUUGUCCAGAUGUCAAAAUUCGGAUUGGGGAUGUUGCGACGGAGCAACAUUUCUUUGUUCAAGAUAUGUCUUAUCUGUUGAUUUUAGGACAACCUUAUAUUAUGGCAACACGGAUGGAAACAAAAGUACUUGACGAUGGUUUUGCUUAUGCAAGGAUACGUAGCGAAGAUGGGAGGAAAGCUGUAUAAUUUCUAACAGUACCUCCUAACCAUGAACGGAAUCGAGAUGGGUUGAGGGAAAAACCAUUGCCAAAGAUUGUUAAAAGAUUUAAGGAUUUUGGAGAGGUACCACUGUAAAGCGAGAUUAUGGAGGUAUAAAAGAGGAGGUACUCUCGUAAGAUGAAGGUGCCUUUGAUACGAGUUUUAUUGGUAUAUUGAAAAAUAGAAAUAUUAUGUAUAAGAAAAUUGAUGAUUUUAAAAGAAAAGAAAGAAAAAGAUUAUAUAAUAUUGAAAGAAAAUUACGCAAAUUAGGUACAUUGCAAGAUGAUGAGAGGAUUUUAGUUGUUUAUGAAGAAAAUGGACUGAAAGAUUCAUUGGAAUUGAUUACAUCUAUUGGAUUAGGGGAUAAUGAUAAGAUUAUUGAGAUUCAUUCAAGAGAGGUUUAUACCAUACUUGAAUCUUUUCAAGCACCAGAAGUCACUGUAGAGACGAGAUAUAAAACGACAGAUAAGAAGGUAAAGCCUGUUGCCGGACUAUUGCCAGAAGAUUCUAAAGAACAAAUGGGAGAAGCAUGAAAAGAAGGAAGUUUAAGAGAUCCAAUGAGUAUUGGACAUCAGUUUACUAAAGAGACUUUUGAAGAAUUGAAGAUUGGUUCUGAUGGUUCUUUAUUGCCGGAGAAAAUUACUUGCUUCAAAAAGAUGUUGGCUAAACAAGGUAGAUCGUUUGCUUUCGAAUCUCAUGAAAUUGGGUGUGUGGAUCCAAAUAUUAUAACACCUAUGGUUAUCUUCACUGUACCGCAUGUACCUUGGAAUCUAAGAUAGAUUCCAGUACCGAGGGUACAUUUACCUAAAUUGGUGGAACUAUUAAAAGAAAAGAUAAAGAUGAAAAUAUUGGAACCCUCGUUUGCGCCGUAUUCUAGUCGAUGGUUUACGGUACCUAAGAAGAAUGGAUCACAACGGUUCAUUCAAGAUAUGCAACUGGUGAAUGCAAUAACUGUCAGGAAUGCAAGAAUUGGACCUAUUAUGGAUGAAUUUGCUGAGGCGUUUGCUGGAAGGGCGAUCUAUUCAAUGGGUGACUUGUAUUCAGAUUAUGAUCAAUUUCAACUUGCCGAAGGAAGUAGAGAUAUGACAACAAUGAGGACACGACUUGGAUUGGUUAGAAUGUGCACUCUUUCUCAAGGCGCGACCAACUCAGUUGCCCAUAUGAUGAAUGGGAUGAAUAAGGUAUUGAGAGAUUUUAUUCCGGAAAAGACUAUGCCUUUUCUGGAUGAUGUUCCUAUAAAAGGGUGCAGAGAAGGAGACAAGGAUGAAACUUUAGAUAAGAAAGGAUGUCGCAAAUAUGUUGUUGAUCAUAUACAAGAUUGUGAAAAGUUUUUAACUCAACUUGGAGAAGUUCAUCUUACAUUAUCGGAUAUAAAGUCCGUAUUUGGAGUACGAGAGGUUGUGAUUGUUGGACAUUUAUGUAGAUCUUACGGAAGAAAACCAGAUCCGGUUAAAGUUGAUGCAAUUUGAAGGAUGAAAGAGGAUUGUGAUUCUUUAACAGAGGUUCACAGGUUUUUGGAUGCAUGUGUAUUUUAUCAAAUCUGGAUCCCUCAUUAUGCUUACAUAGCGGAUCCAUUAUAUGAACUGUUACGGAAGGAUUACCGAUUUAAAUGGGAAAAAAGGCAUAUUUAGGCAAUGCAAAGAUUGAAGAAAUUAUUGAUGUCACCUCCAAUAUUAAAGAAGGUUGAUUAUAAGUGCAAUAGACCAGUGAUUCUUACUGUGGACGCUAGUCGAAUUGCCAUUGGAUGGGCUGUGGGUCAAGAUGAUUCCAAUGGGAAUAGAUUUGCAGUUUGAUUUGGAGCUAAAAUUUUAAGUAUUCGUCAGCCUGCAUAUUCGCAAGUCAAAAGAGAACUUUGGGAAGUUAUUUCGGCUAUGAAAGCUGAAAAAGACUAUUUGAUUGGGGCAGUAGUAGUAAUUGAAACAGAUUGCUUGCCAUUGCUUGGAAUGAUUAUUAACUGUUCAACGCCAGAUAUUGCAAUGUUGAGAUGGAUUGCUUAUAUUAAGUCACUAAAUCCGGAAUUUAAGCAUGUUACUGGGAAGGACAAUUUAGUAGCAGACAUGCUAUCUCGAGCAAGAUACGAGAGGGAGGACGAAAUGGUUGAAGACAUUGAUGACGUCGGAUUGAAAUUCUAUUCAAUAUCAAAUCUCAAUAGAGAAGACAAGCUAUUUUUUGAAGAAUCUUAUGAAGGAGAAUUAUUGAAUAUUGGUCAUUAUUUGAAUACCUUGACUAAGCUGGGGAAUUGGUCUACAGAAAAAUUCAAAUAAAUAAGAAAAAAAGCAUAUGGAUUUUUACUUCGAGAUAGAUUCUUAUGGAAGAGACCGAAGAAAGGAAUUGGGAUGCCACAACGAGUGAUAGGCAAAAAAGAAGAAAAACUAAAAUUAUUAAAGGAGUUUCAUGAUAGUUUAUGGGCAGGGCAUAGAGGAAUCUGGGCUAUUUUUAUUAAACUCAAGGAACGAUAUUGGUGGAAAAAUAUGUAUCGAGAUGUGCUCUCAUUUGUAGAGUCAUGUGAAAUCUGUCAAUCGUAUUCUAAUAUCCGACAUCGAGAUGGUCUUCAUCCUACGUAUCCUCUGGCUAUUCAUUUUAAAUGGGUUGUUGAUUUGGUUAUUAUGCCAGUUGGGUUAUGGCAGAUGAGAUAUUUGAUUUUAGCUCGUGAAGAUUUAUCAAAUCAAGUAGAAGGAAGAGCAUUGAGGACAAAAUCUACAGAGGGGAUUUGUAGAUUUUUGCUUGAAGAUGUCAUUUGCCGCUACGGAUGCAUAGGAAAAAUCACUGCAGAUCGUAGAGAAUUAAAUGCACAAGAAGCUCGUAAGUUCUUUGAAAGAUGUGGAGUUAAACUAUCACUGACUACUGCUUAUAAUCCGGAAGGGAAUGCAAAAAGCGAACGCGGUCACCCACCGAUUGUGAAAGCAUUAGUUAAAGCUUGUAAUGGGAAAGUUAGAGAGUGGCCACGGCUUUUGUCAUUUGCAUUAUGGGCUGAUCGAACAACACAUAGUUCGGUGACAAGAUAUAUGCCAGUAGAACUUAUGACAGGUCAAAAACCAAUUAUGUCGAUUGAAGAAAAGGUACUUACUUGGAGUAUGCUACCAUGGGAAGAUGGAUUGACAAGAGAAGAACUUCUAGCUAUUAAGAUUCGACAAUUGGAGCAAAGAUCGGAAGAUGAGCAGAUGGCAUUGGAAAGGUUAAAAAGAGCAAGGUUACAAAACAAGGCGCGACUCGAUAAGCAACAUCGAUUGAGACCUAAAGCAAUCGAGGAAGGUGACUAGGUACUUGUUUAUGACAAUAGUCUAGAUAAUCAACAUAGUACUUUGCGGAAAUUUUCAAAACGUUGGUUUGGACCAUAUGUAGUAACAACUGUUCAUAAUAAUGCGACUUACUCAUUACGAGAGUUAGAUGGUACAAAAUUGAAAAUACCAAUUGCAGGGAAGCAAGUAAAAAUAUUUAAACGAAGACAUGCGGAGAUGAAUAUGGAAGACCUUAAUGAAGGUAUAGAGAUUCCGCAGUGAGAAGAUGAAAGUGAUUAGGAUAAUGAAGGUGACGAAGACGAACUGGACAAAGACGUAGAAGAUAUAUUCUAAAUCAAACAGCAGUUGGGUAAAUUGGUGCAUAUCGGAGGAUGCACAGGUUCAGCGGGAGUGGAUGUCGUGUUGUAAUACGAGUAUACCGUGAAAAUAUAAAGUAAGGGGACUUUUAUUAAUAUUCAGUUAUCUCGAAUAUUGGGAGCAACGACCAAUUUCAGUGCAAAUACUGAGAGGCCAGGUUCAGUCACCCCGUUACAGUCAGCCAGGGCAUACUGAAAUGCUCCAUUCGAUUCCAAUAACGGGAGUCAGCAGAACGAAAAAGAACCAAUUCAAUGACAGGUGAACCUGGUUCGAAGAGCCAAUUGGAUCCAAUUUCAAGACAUCCAAUCCGGGUCCUCUUACCUAAUAUGAGACCUGACUUUGUUAGACAACCCAAUGCGGACCAAUUUCAGGAACAUCCAGGUUACUACGGGCCUCUUAUCCAAUAUGAGACCUGAAUUGUGAGACCUGAAUUGGUCGGACGACUCAAUGUGGUCCCGAUUACGGGAUUUUGAUUCUGUUUCAGGCUGUCUUGUUCUCUGUGUCGUUUGAGGGAACGUUGUUUUCGGUAAAAAGAUCUCUUAAAGGUAAAAAUGGAAGAGAAAGCUUUGACAGCAAGAGCCAAUUUCAGAUCCAAGCUCUGACGGCGGGAGCCAAUUUCGGAUCCAAGACGAAAGAUUGAAGAAAUUCAGAAUUAAGGUUAAGAAAUGAGGGGAGAAAAGUUUUGGAGGGGUUUUUUUUUUUUUUGAAGGAUCAGAGAGCUAGCUUCAUGCUUCGGGAAGGAGAAAAAAGAUAGAGAAUUGGGUUUUUUUUCUUCAUAGGGUUUUGGGAAGACUGAGGCAAUCGUUGUUGAAGUCAGUGUUGUAAUGGUGAAUCCGGAUUUUUAAUGAAGUGGAUUUGAUUACUCUUGACUGUUUUGUAAAAUCGAUUUACAUCUGUGAUGAAGAAUUAAAAGGGUGUCUAUAGGAUUGAGUAUGCGGAGUGAAUGAAAUUUAUCGGGUUAAUCUAACAAGACAGUCAGUGGAUACAAGAUCGUGAGUAUAAAGCGGUAUCGAAGAUUAGCAGUUUGGAUUGUUCGAGGUUCUCUGUAACGUCUAGAGACCUACCGGCUGGGACAAAAAGGACUUUGGCAAGCAAUCGAAGGGCAUCCGAUUAGAUUUACGGUGUAUUCUUGUAGUCAUUUAUAUUCCAACAGUCAAAAACCAAUAGAUUACUUGAAUAUUGG
rnacentral:lncRNA from 1 species